rnacentral:lncRNA from 1 species
UUUUUUUUUUUUUCACUUACAAAGAGAUUAUAAAACUUUAUUGUGGCAUCACACAGCAGAAACGAGUUUGCAAGGCCAGGACUAUCUUGGGGUCCUCAGAAGGGGUUGCCCCAGAGGCCAGGGCACAGAGGAAGGGGGCAAGCCAUUGCCAGGAGGGUGGCUACAGCCAGGGAGCCAGCCUGUGCCCAGGCGCUCUUGCAAUGCCACACUGCAGGGGACCAGAGCGUCUGGCCGGGAGCUUCGGAGCUUCGGGAGGGCAAGGACUCCUGGGUGGCGGGUGGAGGCGGGCUCAGGGCACCAUGUUCCACCACUUGAAGGAGAAGGGCUGCCGGCGCACAUUGGUGCCCCAGUGGACCUCCCCGUGCUGCAUGUGGUAGGCGUAGAAGUCGUCGAUGAAGGUGCAGUGCAGGCCCAGCAGCUCCAGCAAGGACCGCACCUUCUCCUCCAGGCAGCACUGGCCAUUGAUGAUGGGACCGAAGGGCUUGGGGAUGCCCAGGUGCUUCCCCAGCACCAGCAUGUUCACCAUGUUUGGAAAAUAGGCUUCAUCCUUGAGGAUCCCACUGUUCUCCUCCUGGAGCUUGAAGAGCUGGGGGAUGUCCACGAUGUCCCUCUCACUCAGGCCCAGCUCCCGCUUCAGCACCUCCCGGUUCCAGUCGAUGCAUUUCUCCACGUAUGAAUCCUGGUCUCUCAGUUUCUUGUCUGACAGGAUGUCCUUUACUUUCUGCUUUUUUUUUUCCUGAUGCCUUCAGAGAGUGCAGCCUCCCCGUGGCCCCCCCACUGAGCUGCUCCUCCAGCAGUGCGUAGCAGGCCCGGGGGCUGGCCAGCAGCAGCCGGAAGCCCUUCUUGGGCCCGGGCACGAAGCUCAGGAACUCGUCCACGUGGCCCACAAACAGCCAGUCGGAGUAGAGCUUCACAGGCGCCUGCACCUGCUGGGCGCCAAGGAAGUCCUGCACAGCCUGGGGCCUGGUGCAUCUCCUGGCUCUCCUUGCUGGGGUAGCUGCCGCUCCCAAUGAGGAUCCUGCCCAGAGGGUACUUCUUCCUCCCAACCGUGACCGGGGGACUCACUUCCAGGUUUCCAAAGGAGUGGAAAGUAGUAACCUCUCCAGUCUCGGGCCCUCAAGUCACGUAGCCAAAAUCUGGACCCAGCAAGCACUUGAUGGGGAAGUCCUUCAGGCCCCUGUUCCUCGGAGAGUCAAAGACCAUGGGCAGGGUCUUGUGUGGGGCUUGGAUGUAGCCGAUCUCUAUAUCGUCCUGCAUCCACCGAUCAUCGUUGCUCUGUUCCUUGGAGGGGAUGGUCAGCUUGCACUUGGCUUCCUUAGCCACAGCAGUUACUAAUUUCAGGAAAGCAUGGAGAAUAUGAGAGCGUCCCUGUAGCAUGCAAAGUGACGGGACAGGAUGGCCGGUUCCGAGGGGAAUGUACGACGGCCAUGCAGGAGGGGUUGGAGUCCAAGAGAGCCUCUCAUAAGUCCUGGGAACAUAACUGUGAGAGGUGGAAAACCAAGGUACCUUACAAAGUUUCAAACAGAUUCGAGGCAGAUGCUGUAAAGUUUAGGAAAUAGCAGGUACAGAGGAAACAGAUUGCUGUGUUCCAGUUAUACAGAAGAGCUAAAUAAGUGGUGCAUCAUCAUGAUGGUUUAGAUUUGAAUUAAGAAAGCGAUCAUACCAACAAAAAGAAAACAUGACAUUAUAAAGCCUUUGGAAUUAAAUAAAACAGCAAAUGAAUUGCAUAAAAAAACGCAAAUUUUUUUUAACAAAUGACAUUUUAUUAUUCAAAUGAUAUAAUAUCAACACCAAUGCUAAUAAAAAUAGAGGCUGAAUUCAUCAAUGGCAAAGUCAGUUGUAUUUCACUUGAAGAUACCCACAUUUCGAAGUAAGCCUUUUGUAGACAGAUGAAAAUCCUCUAUUAUGUAGAGUUUUAAUCUUUACCUAUUAAAGACUGGGCAAGGCAAAGCCAUCCCUACUAGCAGAGCAAGAAAAGCAGAGAUGGAACCGGUGUGUCUCCAUACACUUGGAGCUAUGAAUACUUUUCUGUCUUGCAGUUUAAGAUGAAGAAAAUUCUUUUUCUCUACUAAUGUCUUUAAAUGUUGAGAUUCUGGGUUCUUUUCAGAGUUUUACAGGAUGCUGCUUUGCUCUAUUUCUAGGCUAUUAGAAGCAAUAACGUUUAACCUCAAAGAAUCAGUAUGGGGUUGGUAACAUGGUGACCCUUCCUUUAAAAGCAAAGGACAUACAAAAAGGAAGUUUUUCAUCAGCAAGCUGGUGGGAGGUGGGGUCCAGUAAAGGAAGUCCUCAAUGAUAUUACACUUCAGAAAACACUGGAAGGAUAUAAGUGAUGAGCCAUGUCGAUAUCUAGAGUUAAAAGUAUUAAAGACAGAAAAAAUACAUUUAUAGUAUAUAAAAAUACAAUUGAGCUAUAUCCUAAAAAAUUUUCUGAAGCAGUCUGGGUAGUUCAGACUGCCUUCAGCUCAGGUCAUGAUCUUGGGAUCCUGGGAUGAAGCCCCAUGUCAUCUUGGGCUCCAUGCUCAGUGGGGAGCCUGAUUCUCUCUCUCCUCCCCGCUUACACUGUCUCUCAUUAUCUCUGCCACUGUCUCUGUCUCCUCUCAAAUAAAUAAAAUCUUUAAAAAGAUAUAUUUCUGGGAAAAAUACUCUUAUUACUUAUAAUGCAUUGUUUUACAUUCUAUUUCAGCAUUGCAUAUAGAACACGUUUCACCCAAAUCCACUGAAAUAACAGCCUACUAAUAGAUGUCAUCCUACAAUUUUAAAACCAAAGCACCAGUAGUUACAAAGAGGAACGAGAUUGCUAGUUCACUCUACAGAGACCAUGCCAACUUUGUAGGGCCCAAAGGACAGUAAAGUGGUAAGGAACAUCCUAGUGAGGGGAGCACAGAUACAAGUAAGCUUAGUGGUGACAGUCCUCCAUAGGCCAAAACUAAUGGUAGGAGAUGCUACUAUGGAACUCGUCUCACAAAUGCCGAAGGAGACGAUGGAAUUCUGACACUGCAGAUGCCAGAUGGCAACACUAACAAAGGUGGAGCAAGUACAAAACUAUAAAGGGCACAGGAUGAAAACGUAACUAGAAGGCCUCUGCUCACAGAGAUCUGUGGUGAUGGCCUGUGGACCACAGUGUUCCUAAGACACAGUGUAGCUUAUAUAAUUGAAGUGGAUCAGCACCUUCUCUUGAGGUAGACAGCAGUACGUAUUUGCUGUAUUACCCUGUGACAAUCUUAAUUCUUGUUUUCUCCAUCACAAUAUAUUCCUAAGGGACCUGGAUUAUCAUGCAAUUCUUGAUAAUGUUCUGAUCCAUUCUAUUGAUAACAUAUUAAUCUCUACAUUUUGGCUCAGUGUCAGUCAUUACAAGAACUGUUACCCCAAAAAAUCAUAUAUUGAGUAGCUUACCAAUAAAUGUAUUUCUCACAGUUCUGGAGGUUGACAGUUCAAGAUCAGGGUGCCAGCGUGGUCAAAUUCUGAUGAGAACCCUCUUCUGGAUCACAAAACUGCUAACUUCUCAUUGAAUCAUGUAGCAGAGAGCACAGAAGAGGAAGCAAGCUCUCUGGUGAUUCUUACCAAGGACCCUAAAUCCAACUCAUGGGGCCCCACCCUCAUAACCACAUUUAAUCCAAAUUAAUUCCCAAAGACCCCAAUUCCUAAUACCUAAUAUCAUAUUGGGGGUCUGGGUUUCAACAAAUGAAUUCUGGCAGGACACACACAUUCAGUCCAUAACAACUAGAAACCAAAAAUUACAUCAUCUUGGAUUUAUAAUGCACAUAAAACAACUAUAACACAAACAACAAUGCCAGGGAGGAGGUAAAUGGAGUUUUAUGGUUGCAAGGUUUUGACAUUUUAUGUGAAAUGGUACAUUAUUAACUCUAACUAGAAGGUGAAAAGUUGAAGUAUACUGUAUGUAAUGCAGAGAAAUACUGCUAAAAAGUCAACAAAUCAAUUAAAGUAGAAUUCUAAAAAUAUUCAAAUUCAACAGAAAAAAAGCAAAAAAUUAGAGAUAAAAAAAGAGGAACCAAACAUAAAUAUUGAAAUUACAGAACUAAAUCAAUCAAUAACUACAUUAAAUAUUAAUGAAAGAAAUGAGGAUAGGUAUGGUAGUUUUUGAGAAGGCCAAGUAUGAUUUUGAAAGGCAUCUGCUUCAUGUUGGGCAUCUACAGUCUCCAGGAAGUGGUAGGGUACUCCUCUCUAUUAGAGAGGAAUGGGUUCUUCCACUAGCCUGAAUUUCACACAAGUCUUUAACACCUGCACCAUUGCAAUCCCUUACCAUCCUGAAGCUAUUAAACCUUGAGCAUGACUUAGGACACAGCCUCACUUCUCAGGACAUAAGAAUCUUCUGAAUGCUUUUAUGGAGGUCUACUAUCCUUCACUGUGUGCCCUGUGUUGACAGCUAACUUGAACCUGUAUCUUCAAGCCUUCUUUUUUUUUUUUCUUUAAGAUUUUAUUUAUUUAUUCAUGAGAGCCACAGAGAGAUACAGAGACUGAGGCAGAGGGAGAAGCAGACCCCACACAGGGAGCCUGAUGCAGGACUUGAUCCUGGGACUCUGGGAUCACGCCCUGAGCCAAAAGCAGACACUCAACUGCUGAGCCACCCAGGCAUCCCAUCUUCAAGGCUUGUAAGGCAGAAAAGUCAGUAACUCCACAACUCAUAAACUUAUCACUGCCUCAUCUUGUUCAAGUGCUAUAGCUACUAUACAAAUCUAUCCAACCUCACGCUCAUCUAUCACACAGGAGAAUCCUUCUAUUACAGGAUGAUGAUGAUUAUCCUCAUACUUGCCAUUAGCAAUGUGGCCUUCAUUGCCAUCUGACUAAUAAGCAAUCUAGUUUUAGAUUCUCAAACUCGAGUUCUCAUUUCUAGGACCACUUUUGGGACCAACAGUACUACUCAGGUUUUGCACAAAAGCUGAGACAAGGAAUCAGGCACAGAUUAUUUUGGAGGUCACUUCGGGAGAACAGAGGGAAUGAAGAGAGUUGGACAGGAAAGUGGAGAAGUUAAUAAAGUGCCACUGAAGAAAAAACAGUGUCUAGGGGAUCCCUGGGUGGCUCAGCGGUUUAGCGCCUGCCUUUGGCCCAGGUUGUGGUCCUGGAGUCCCAGGAUCAAGUCCCAUGUCAGGCUCCCUGCAUUCUCCCUCUGCCUGUGUCUCUGCCUCUCUCUCUCUCUCUCUCUCUCUCUCUCUCCCUCUGCCUGUGUCUCUGCCUCUCUCUCUCUCUCUCUCUCUCUGUGUGUGUGUCUCUUUUGAAUGAAUAAAUAAAAUCUUUUAAAAAAUCAUGAAAAAAAAAUAGUGUCUAACACCACUGCAGACUCUGAGUACCACCUCAGAAUCGAUCCUGUUGAGGGAUGACUGGGGCAAAAUUAACAUCCAUUGUAUUUUUUGUACCAUUUUCUUACUGUUGGCUCCUAGUCCACUAGUAGUGAUGUUUUAUCACGUUGAAUGAAAUGUAGAAAAUUACUACCUAUGUUCUUUACAGGCUCUAUUUCAAAAUAUAAUUAUCUUUAGUAUUUUUAUAUGUAGAGUACCACAUCAGGUGGUGUUAUUUUUUUUUGCUUCCAAUAUGAAAUAAUUAAGAAACUUAUAAAAAUAAUUUUGUACUUGCCCAUAUUUUUAUCCAUUUCCUUCUUUCUCUUCUGAAUUUCCAAGACUCCUCUGUUUUCAUUUUCAUGAAAAACUUCUGUUAGCCACUGUUUGAAGGUAGGUCACCAUGUAAUAAAUUCUGUUUUCCUUUAUCUGAGAAAAUAUCUCCCUUUUACUCUCAAGGGCUAUUUUUAAUAUAGAAUUCACAGUACAUAAUUAUUUAAUCGCUUGAACAAUUUCAUGCCAUGUACUCUGGCCUCCAGGGUCUCAGGUGAGAAAUCUCUUGCCAUUUGUAUUGCUGUUCCUUAAAAGUUAAUACACAGGUUUUCUUCAAACUUCAAGAUUUUUUUUAUUAGUUUUAGAAGGUUGAUUAAAACGUGUCUCUGCAAUGAAGGCCACAUUAAUGGCAAUGCAUUAAAAUGUAUUAAUUUAUUCUCUGUGGUUUACUUUCCUUCCUCAAUCUGUAUAUGUUUUCUGCCAAAUUUGAGAGGUUUUCAAAUACAGGCAUACCUUGUCUUACUGUGCUUUGCUUUCCUGCACCUCACAGAUACUGCAUAUUUUUACAAAUUAAAGUUUUGUGAUGAUCCUGCAUCCAGCAACUCUACUGGCACUGUUUUACCAAAAGUAUCUGUUCACUUCAUGUCUCUUUGUCACCUUUUGGUUACUCUCACAACACUUCAAACUUAUCUAUCAUUAUUAUUGCUAUGGUGAUGUAACCAGUCAUCUUUGAUGUUAGCAUUAUAAUUAUUCGGGGCACCAGAACUGUGCCCAUACAGGAUGACAACCUUAAUAAUGUGUGUUCUGACUAUUCCACCGACCAGCCAUUCCCCCAUCAUUCUCCCUCUCCGUGGAUCUCACUAUUCUUUGAAACACAAGAGUAUUGAAAUUAGGCCAAUUUAUACCCUACAGUGUCCUCUAAGUGAUAAGUGAAAAAAAGCACAUGUCUCAGAUUAAAUCAAAAGCUAGAAAUGAUUCAGCUUAAUGAAAAAGGCAGGUCAGAAGCCAACACAGGCCAAAAGUUAGGCCUCGUGUGUCAGCCAAAUUAGGAAUGCAAAAGAAAAGUUUUGGUAGGAAAUUAAAAGUGUUACUCCAGUGAACACACAGAUGAUAAGAAAGUGAAACAGCCUAAUCACUGGUAUGGAGAAAGUCUGUCUGGUUUGGAUAGAAGGUCAAACCAACCACCACAUUCCCUUAAGCCAAAGACUAUUCUAGAGCAAGGUCCUAACUCUCUUCAAUUCUGUGAAGGUUGAGAAAGGUGAGGAAGCUGCAAAGAAAAGUUGGAAUCUUGAGGAGGUUGGUUCAUGACAUUUAAAGAAAGAAGCCAUCCUCAUAACACACAGUGCCAGGUGAGGCAGCAGAUGCUCAUGUAGAAGCUGCAGCAAGUUCUCCAGAAGACUGGGCUGAGAUAAUUCAGGAAGGUAGCUACACUGACCAGCAGAUUUUCAGUGUAGACAAAGCAGCCUUCUAUUGGAAUAAGAUGCCACCUAGGACUUUCAUAGCUAGAGAGAAGACAAUGCCUGGCUUCAAGGCUUCUAAGACAGGCUGACUACAUAGGGACUAAUGCAGUUGGUGACUUUAAAUUGAAAUCAAUGUUCACUUGCCAUUCCAAAAAUCAGGGGGUCCUUAAUAGUUAUGUUGAAUCUACUCUGCCUGUAUUCUACAAAUGGAACAAUAAUGCUUGCAUGACAACACAUCUGUUUAUAAUGUAGUUUACUGAAUAUUUUAAGUCAAUUUUUGGUAAGUAAUACCCAGCUAAAAUUCUCUCCCUCUCCCUUUGCCCCUCCCCUGCCUUGCACUCCCUCUCAAUCAAAAAAGAAAAAAAA